UUGAGUUCACAAUAAUAUAAAUUAAAAAUAAUAUCCUUUCAAUAUCUUAUAGGUAUACUUUUAAUAUCUUUUUCUUUCGGUAUUGUUUAGUAUCUUUUUUCUAACAAAAUUCUGAAAGGAUAAAAAAAAUAUAAAAUAAAAACUGAAGUCACAAUAAUACACAAAUUAUCCUUCGAGUAUCUUAUAGGUAUACUUUUGGUAUCUUUUUUCUGAUGAAAUUCUAAAAAAUAAAUAUAUAAAAAGAAAAUUUGAAAAUAAAACAUAAAAAUAUUUUUUGAAAAAAAAAAAAACAUUUUGAUUGUAAAAGAAACCUUUUCAAAAGAUAGUGCACCGUGAAAAUUGUUCUUAUAUAGAUUAAAUUUGGACUUGGAUUCUUCAUAAAAGUUGUAACCGUUGAAGAGUAGAUCAUUUAAGGCUUCUGAAUCAUCUCAAUUAGACCUCCGUAGCUCUAGAUAAGGCCCAAACCUUGAGAUUGACCAAAACAAAAAUGGACUGCAUAACAUCUAAUUUCGACAUAAGUUUUCUCAUUAUUAGCAUUCUGAUAUGGACUUGAACCCUUCAUAAGAAUUAAAGUUUAGGAAAUUUGCUACAAAGUUGAUAUAAACUAUUUUUUAAUUCUAGACUUUUAUGAUCACGAAAAAUCUUAUUAAAGCUAAUGCGACCAAUAUUGAAAUUCGUCAUUUUUUUCAUAAACUCCUUUUCUCGACAUGAAACGGUUUUUCAACUAGUCCUGACCCUUUUUAAGCACCUAAAUUGAUCGUAGAAUUGGUUUGGAACAGAAAAAUUCAUCUUUUCUUCUAGGUUCAACCGGUCCUUGGACCGGUUCUGUCCCAAUUUCUUCCUUUGAACUGACUGGUGAACUGGUUCAACUUAAAUUUUCAAUUUUUAUGAGGCAAUUUACUCCUCCAGCUUCUGACACUCUCCUAAAUCGAUCCAAGAGUCGAUUUGUACUCCAGAAAGCUCCACAUUUAUUUAGAAUUGCUAAUACACCUUGAAAACAUAUAAUAAAUAGUUUAGUAACUAAAUCAAGAAAAAACUCUAUAAGAUUACAAGUAUAUUAACUAUAAAUGCACAAUAAAAACCAUAUAAAUAUAUUCAUAAUUUAGAGUUAUCACUUCCCACCAACACAAAUCAAUGGCUCAUUGAUAUUAGGUUGCACCAACUUCAUAAGCAACAAAAAAUGUACGAGCUACGACAGAAUUUUAAUUUAGACAUAUUAAGAAAACACCCAAAGCAAAUUUUUUUUUAAGUUGCUAAAGUUGAGCAUCAAAAAAGUUUGACUUCAAAUUUAACAGUAUAUUAUUUCACAUCUUAUGUAUAUUUCUCGAUAUAAAAAGAUCGUAUACAUCAACCUUAAAGAGAUGUCAAAUGAUGUAUUAUUGAAUUUUAAGUCGAGGUUGUCUGAUGCUCAACUUCAACUAUUUAAAAAAACUUUCUUUGGAUAUUUUCUUGAUAUGUCUAAAUUGAAGACUUUCAAUCUCAUCUCGUUUAUUGUCUGUUGCUUAGGGAUGUCAAUGAACUGUGGGUUUAUGUUGGUGAGAGGCGUUUAAUACUUUCUAUUAAAGAGUUUGCUAUUAUUACUAGAUUUGAUUGUGUGAGGAAUAUCAAUAAUAUUUCUUUUGUCAAUGAUAGUAAUAUGUUAUUAAACAAGUAUUUUGAUGGUGCAAAUAAGGUUAAGAAAAAAAAUAUUGAAGAUUGUUUUCUUUCACAUAAGUGGAUAUGCGAUGAGAUGCUAUUAUGCUUGUUAUUUUAUAUUUUGUUCAUUUGUUAAUAUUUUUUUCUCUUAAAGAGAGACUUGUUUCUAAAAAAGAUAGUGAAAAUUUUAAUAAUUAUACUUAGGGCAAGGAGGUUCUUAAUGUUAUUUUAAAUUCUUUGAAAGGGAAGUUUAAUAGAAAGGAGAAAAAGAGAAAAUUCAUUUAUAGGUUGAUUGGUUUCCCCUUGGCCUUUUAGAUUUGGUUUUUUAAGUGUUAUCUUUAUAUUAGUGGAAAAUUUUCUUUUUAAAGGAUGAACAAGUUGUCUUUCUUCCUCACUCACACCUCUCAUCCUCUUAACUAUUUGAGUUAUCUCAUCUUGUAAAUCCUCUUGAGCUAUUCCAUUCCCUUUGUCUCUCCUUGUAAUCUUAGACUUUGGUUCUAUUAGUUUUUAUUUGAAAAAAAAAAAGAUGAAAAAAGCUUGAAGGUAUAGAAAAAAUAUAGAAGAAGAAAGAUAGGAGUUUGAUGAGAAAUGAGUAUACUGGUGAUGAUAAAAAAUGAUUAAGAAUAACUUUUAAGGGUUUUUAUAGCUAGAGAAAUAAAGAAAAAACGACUAGUAACUCAUGAAGAUUCAAUUUUCAAAAAUCUAUAAUGAUAUUUGAAAAUGCAGUUUUAAUAAAGUCGCGAUUGCGAUAUGAUGAUCGUGUCUGCAAUUUUUGUAAAAUGUGUCUAACGCUUAUAAAACUUUUGAAAUCGCUUUUCGCAUUUGCGAGACACACAUCUUGCUUAUGAUUUUGCCUAAUAUUCAAUUUUCAACUAGUGUAUAUUGCACUCACAGUUUACGAAUCAAAAAUGAAAACAUAAGAUUUUUAUUUAAAAUUUUUCAUGAGAUUCAUGGCACAACUUUUAUGAUCAUUCAUUGAUGUAAGAAUGACAUAAGGAUACUCAUGAGUCAUUUUAUAUUGACAAGGAGCAAAAUUUUAGCCAUUCAUAAUCACAACAAAGUUAAUGUACAAUAAUGUUCACAAUCAUUGAAUCAAAUGUUCACAUCAAAAUAUGUUCAUGAAUCAAGAGAGUCCUCAUCUAUCAUACCAAGUUUCCUCUUAAUAAAAUUUAAUCUUUCCUCAUUUAAGAGCUCGGUGAAGAUAUCAGCAAGUUAGUUAUUAGUGUUAAUAAAUUCUAACACUACAUCACCAUUUUGCAUGGUCUCUUAAGAAAUGGUAUCUAAUGUCUAUAUACUUACUGUUUCAGUGUUAAAUGGGGUUCUUAGAUAAGUUUAUUGCACUAGUAUUGCCAUACUUACUUGGAAUAUGUCUAAGCACCUGGCCAUAAUCCUUGAGUUUUAUCUAAAACAUUUGAGCAUGAGAAUAAUUGGCCGCCAUAUAUUCCGCUUCGACAGCGACCAAGGCAACUGAGACUUAUUUUUUACUAAAUCAAGACACUAAAUAUCUAGGAAAUGUCCAAUUCUAGAAUUGCUCUUUUUGUCUAAGAGACUACCCGCAUAAUCGACAUCGGAGAAGCCAAUUAUGUUAAAAGAUGUAUCCUUAGAAUACCAAAGACCUAGAUGUAAUAUGUCAUUCAAGUAUUUCAAUAUUCUCUUAAUGAUAUGAAAAUGUGACUCUCUUGGGCUAGAUUGAAAACAUGCACAUAAAUAAACACUAUACACAAUAUCCGAUCUAGAAGCCGUAAGAUAGAAUAAGGAUUCAAUCAUAUCUUUACACUUCUUUUCAUCAAUUGGCUUACCAUUUUCAUCAAUGGGGAGCGGUGUCAUUUGGACCUGUACAUGCUCUCUGCUGCUGACCUCAAGCAUAAGAGGAUUCUGUUAGCAAGACCUGCUUGUAGGGCGUGGUAUUUAGGCGAGAGGAUUUAUGGGUGGCAGCAAGGCCCUAACAGACGUCGAGUUCCCUUGCCUCUACCUCUUUCUAUGUUUUGGACAGCGAAUCUCGUUGGGGAGGAGCUAGCGACAUGUUUAGUGGGAUAUGUUGAGCUCAAGGAUCUGAAUAUUCGAUCCCGGAGGACGGACUAUACUUCCUUUAUUCCCUAAUUGUCGGGGACUGUGCCUUUUGAUGAUGACAUCAUGGCUCAAGUACUUUUCUGAUCUACUUUGAAUCCUUUAACUUUUUUAUUCCACCUUUUUCACCUAACUUUUCUAUUUGCAAUUUAUCCGUCGUGCCCCCACUGCUCCUGAGCCGACCGAGGAGCGAUCUGCCUGACGCUCUAGACCCUCCUACACCUCGGGUUCCUUUGCUGGUGCUGCCUCUGAAGCACCUUCUACAACCAUGUUUGAUGUAAUUCCAAGGACCAUCACGUUUCCCCUAGAUCCGAUGGUCUCAUACUGGUGCUCCUAUGGUGCAAUGGAGCACCGACUCACCAUGGAGCAUUGCCUUCCUCCGGAGUCACUUCGAGUACUUACACACAUGUUCAGAGAGACCAGUUCGAGCAUGUCCAUUGAUUGGUCGGUGCCGCAAGAAGAGAGACCAUGGAGCUUGCAAGGGCAGGUUGACGACCGGGAGCGUCAGAUUGACGCUCAGCAACGUAGGAUCGACAUUUUGACGCUUUAGCUAUCUACUUUGUGGACUCAAGGGAUGGACACCAAUUCAGACGUGGGAUGGGUGAUUCGGGAGAGAACCCCAACUUUUGAUUUUUUUGCCAUUGCUUGUUCUUCUGCUCUUUUUUAAACUUUGGAUUUUUUUAGAAAUAUAUAAAUUAUGUUCUUUUGGUGUUUAAA